AUUUUUGAAUUUUUUUUGAGUUUGGGAGUCAUUCGAUGAUAUUUUUGAGUAACUUGUGAUAUUAUAGUCUUUUUAGUGAUCUUAGGGUCAUUUUUGAGUAAAUUGAGAAAAAAUUAUUUGUUCCUUAUCUUAGUAGAGUUAUUCGUGUGGACCUUUACCCUUGAGCAUUUGGGUACCUUAGAGUACUUUUAGGGUACUAAAGGGUUAUUUUUUAGAAUUAUGAGUUUUUAGGCAUUUUUAGUUCCUUG
rnacentral:lncRNA from 1 species